rnacentral:rRNA from 1 species
UACGUGGGGUGCGAGCGUUAAUCGGAAUUACUGGGCGUAAAGCGUGCGCAGGCGGUUUUGUAAGACAGAGGUGAAAUCCCCGGGCUCAACCUGGGAAUUGCCUUUGUGACUGCAAAGCCUGAGUGCGGCAGAGGGGGAUGGAAUUCCGCGUGUAGCAGUGAAAUGCGUAGAUAUGCGGAGGAACACCGAUGGCGAAGGCAAUCCCCUGGGCCUGCACUGACGCUCAUGCACGAAAGCGUGGGGAGCAAACAGG